AAGAUCAUACUUCACAGGAUCAGUUCUGUAGUUGAUCGGUUUUUUCUCUCUGUUCAAACUGAGAGUCGAUGCAACCACGAUGAGGAGGCGUAGCUCCUUUCCCUGAGCGUGAGGAAGACUCGGGAAAGUUGACUUUGUUCAAUUUCUCAGUCAUCGAUGAUCGUUCAUCCCUUGUACUACGUGCAAAGGAGAUGGGAAGUGGAGCUUUCUGAGUGGU